UGGAUAAAGCUUUUUGUUUGGAAUGAUCACUCUGGCCGUGCUGUUUGCCGUAUAAGGAGAUUGCUGUGAGGCAGCAAGUUUCCUUGUUCGAUCACUCUUUGUACAGCAAAGUGCCAAAGCAGCAUCCCUCUUUUCCUGAUGUCUAGCAUCCUCCUUCUGUAAAUCCGAAACAGUGGGUUGAUUUUUGUUCAAUUGAACAAGGCUCGGUUCUGGAGCUUUAUCUUUCGAGGAACUAGCAUAUGCGGGCAC
rnacentral:lncRNA from 1 species